UUGUUCUCUUUCUCUUCUCUUCUUCUCUUCUUCUUUAUUCUUCCUCCAGUCGUUUCUAAAUCGAGAAUUUGAGAGUGAUGAGUAAAAAUUGAUUGAUGAGAAUCAGGUUAUGAGUUGUAUAGAUGAUGGAGGAGUCGAGGUUGUUGUUGAUGAAGAAGAAAAGAUGAAUCAGAGUUAGGGUUUUCUGAAGGAUGAAGUUUGAUAGAGGUUUCAUGGAAUUGAUUAGUGUAUUGAGUUCCUGAUGGAUGGGGAUUGAAUGGGUUGACGUUUAAUUAUAGUUUUGAAGUUUAUUCAUUGAUGAAUCGAAGAAUUAGGGUUUCUCAUGACAACCUCAGAGAGGAAGGAAUUAAAAGUUCGAUUUGGUGAUGGUUAAGAUGGAAGUAAGUAUGGGUUUCAUGAUUAUAACACGGAGAAGAUAGUUUCGUUGAUUUGAGGAAUUUAGGAAUCAGAGGUUCUGGUAAAUUGAAUUAGGGUUCAAAGGAUUUCAAGAGUUGUAUGGAGAAUUAGAUUGUGGUGUUGUUGCUGAGAUAAGAAUUAGGAAUCGAGAAGAUGUAUAAAUGGAAGAACAAAGAUUUUAUUGAAGAAUUGGAGUUAGCUGUGGUUGUAGUUGAAGCUCAGGAGAUGGAGUAAAGUUGCUGUUGUUGCUGUUGAUUGAACUGAACCGGUGGGUUUGUUGUUGUCUUAAGAUGGCCUGUUGAAUCAAGUCAAGCAAGAAAGGGGAGUUUCUCAAUUUGUUGGAAUGAAACCAUUCUGAGUUGAAGGUGUUGCUUGCGCUGAGAUGGAAUUGCAGGUGAUGUUGGUUUGUAGGUUAUAGGGUUGUGUAUAAAAAUGGAUAAGUUGUAUACGAGUUGCAGAUAAUGAAUUUGGUGAAGUAUGAAUGAGAUGAAAUGGUGUUUGAAUCUGUAUGAAUUGAUGAGGGUGUCGAUUUAGUGAAUUUGAUGGUAAGAAGAAUGUUGUCAUGUUGGUGGUUGUGGAUAUGAGAUGUAUGAGCUGUUACAGGUGAAGUGGGAUAGAGUUGCAGUUGUUAACGGUGGUUUUUAGUUUAGGGUUAAGAUCGUAAAACCUUGCAUCUGACGUCACUCUGCAAGGAAACGGUGCCGUGAGUGCUAACCUCUUCACCGACAUAUUUAUUGAGCCAUUGAAUAUAUUUACAUGAAAUUUAUCCAGACUGGCGAAUAUAGCAACCAUCCCAGACACUCUGUAAAUUUCGGCACCUCGCCAAUGCAAGACUCACUGAGUACUUUCCUGUGUUGUGUUCCCCGGUAAAACCCUUAAUAUCGAUAUGGCAUGACGGAUUUAUGUUCA